CCUUGAAAUACCACCCUUUAAUGGCUGGUGUUCUAACGUAGACCCGUGAUCCGGGUUGCGGACAGUGUCUGGUGGGUAGUUUGACUGGGGCGGUCUCCUCCCAAAGAGUAACGGAGGAGCACGAAGGUUAGCUAAUCCUGGUCGGACAUCAGGAGGUUAGUGCAAUGGCAUAAGCUAGCUUGACUGCGAGAGUGACGGCUCGAGCAGGUGCGAAAGCAGGUCAUAGUGAUCCGGUGGUUCUGAAUGGAAGGGCCAUCGCUCAACGGAUAAAAGGUACUCCGGGGAUAACAGGCUGAUACCGCCCAAGAGUUCAUAUCGACGGCGGUGUUUGGCACCUCGAUGUCGGCUCAUCACAUCCUGGGGCUGAAGUAGGUCCCAAGGGUAUGGCUGUUCGCCAUUUAAAGUGGUACGCGAGCUGGGUUUAGAACGUCGUGAGACAGUUCGGUCCCUAUCUGCCGUGGGCGCUGGAGAAUUGAGGGGGGCUGCUCCUAGUACGAGAGGACCGGAGUGGACGCAUCACUGGUGUUCGGGUUGUCAUGCCAAUGGCACUGCCCGGUAGCUAAAUGCGGAAAAGAUAAGUGCUGAAAGCAUCUAAGCACGAAACUUGCCCCGAGAUGAGUUCUCCCUGAC
rnacentral:rRNA from 1 species